rnacentral:rRNA from 1 species
GAUGAACGCUGGCGGCGUGCCUAAUACAUGCAAGUCGAGCGAACGGACGAGAAGCUUGCUUUUCUGAUGUUAGCGGCGGACGGGUGAGUAACACGUGGAUAACCUACCUAUAAGACUGGGAUAACUUCGGGAAACCGGAGCUAAUACCGGAUAAUAUUUUGAACCGCAUGGUUCAAAAGUGAAAGACGGUCUUGCUGUCACUUAUAGAUGGAUCCGCGCUGCAUUAGCUAGUUGGUAAGGUAACGGCUUACCAAGGCAACGAUGCAUAGCCGACCUGAGAGGGUGAUCGGCCACACUGGAACUGAGACACGGUCCAGACUCCUACGGGAGGCAGCAGUAGGGAAUCUUCCGCAAAGGGCGAAAGCCUGACGGAGCAACGCCGCGUGAGUGAUGAAGGUCUUCGGAUCGUAAAACUCUGUUAUUAGGGAAGAACAUAUGUGUAAGUAACUGUGCACAUCUUGACGGUACCUAAUCAGAAAGCCACGACUAACUACGUG